GCUCAGACUUUCCUCGCUUUUCCGUCAGCUGUCGAAGUCAAAUGCAAUUAAAAUCCAUUUGAUUUCAGACUUUUGACAAUUUCCGUUAAUAAAUUAAAAGUAUCAUUGCCAAAAUGGAUGGGAAUGAGCAGGAGAACGUGAGGCAUUUGCCAAUGAGAAGAGUGUCACCUGGUGUUUCUGAACCAAAAAGGAUUCCAGAUGCAUGCCGAAAGCCGAAAAGAGAGUUAUGGAAAUAGAGAGAGGCGCAAAAGAGAGUGACUCACUGAAAAAGGCAAUAUCGACAACGUGGCGUCGCCGAGCGACUGAAAUCAUUAUCUUUAUUUUUGUAAAUACCUUUUUCGAUGACUCAAAGGAGUUUCCAAAACUAA